UACGUAGGUGGCAAGCGUUGUCCGGAUUUAUUGGGUUUAAAGGGUGCGUAGGCGGUCUAUUAAGUCAGUGCUGAAAUAUCCCGGCUUAACCGGGAGGUGCAUUGAGUACUGAUGGACUUGAGUGCAGUCGAGGUAGGCGGAAUUGACGGUGCAGCGGUGAAAUGCUUAGAUAUCGAUCAAGAACACCGAUAGUGAAGACAGCUUACUAGACUGUAACUGACGCUGAGCACGAAAGUGUGGGGAGUCAAACAGG
rnacentral:rRNA from 1 species